GUCACAGGUGGGGACACAUUCAGGGGACACACACCCACCUUGGGCACCCAGUGCAGUGCUGCAACACAAAAAGGCUCUCCUGGUCACCCCUUGGCCUGGAGCAGAGUACAGCUGCUAACAAAGCACAAACACAGUCAGAAGGUUGUCGGGUCUAGUUACCCACGUUACCCUCUGCUUGCAAAGCCAAGGUUUAACCCACAGAACGCUGGGGACGUCUCAGGAACCAGCAAGGUCAAACUCGAGGUCCCUGUGCUCAUCUGGGACACACUGCAGGGCAGGAAAACAGUGGAGGACACCAGCAAGUCCUGAAGACAUCUGGACACCCGUGUCUGAUUGUUCUUCACCCUGGCACCUGUAUCACCUCUGCUCUGACGCAUCUCAUGCCAGCAGGGAAAAGCCAAAGCCUGAGAUCUCAGUGCAGCACAUCCAAGCUUGCUUGCCACAAGCUUCUGCAUUUGGGCUAGUGCUGGAAACCACACAGGAGCAUCAGCUAAUGUGAAACACAACCCACCUUCUCAGCGGGAUGGGGUCUCCAGAGCCCAUCUUCCCAUUCCCCCCUGCCCAGCACCCACUCCCCCUGCCAGGCAAGGCUGUGGUUUGGGAUAGCCAAGCACAUCAGCAGUGGAAGCCAGCAGCAGCAUUAACCAGAGCCCUGCCAGCCAUGCUCCUCCCAGGGAGCUGGGGAGGCUCUGGGAAAGCCCUGCAGAGAGCU